UACGAAGGGUGCAAGCGUUACUCGGAAUUACUGGGCGUAAAGCGUGCGUAGGUGGUUUGUUAAGUCUGUUGUGAAAGCCCCGGGCUCAACCUGGGAAUGGCAAUGGAUACUGGCAAGCUAGAGUGCGGUAGAGGGUAGUGGAAUUCCCGGUGUAGCGGUGAAAUGCGUAGAGAUCGGGAGGAACACCAGUGGCGAAGGCGGCUACCUGGACCAGCACUGACACUGGGGCACGAAAGCGUGGGGAGCAAACAGG
rnacentral:rRNA from 1 species